GACGAACGCUGGCGGCGUGCUUAACACAUGCAAGUCGAGCGGUAAGGCCCUUUCGGGGGUACGACGAGCGGCGAACGGGUGAGUAACACGUGGGUGACCUGCCCUCAGCUCUGGGAUAAGCCUGGGAAACCGGGUCUAAUACUGGAUAUGACUCCAUGACGCAUGUUGUGGGGUGGAAAGCCUUGUGCGGCUGAGGAUGGGCCCGCGGCCUAUCAGCUUGUUGGUGGGGUGANGGCCUACCAAGGCGACGACGGGUAGCCGGCCUGAGAGGGCGACCGGCCACACUGGGACUGAGACACGGCCCAGACUCCUACGGGAGGCAGCAGUGGGGAAGUCUUGCGCAAUGGGCGAAAGCCUGACGCAGCGACGCCGCGUGAGGGAUGACGGCC
rnacentral:rRNA from 1 species